UUCCCUGCGUAGUACGUGUAGACUGGAAUUUUAUUACCAACAAAUUUUAAAAGGGAGUCCGCCUUUGAAAGUGGCGUGUAAGCUUACUAAGAGUAAGAAACCCAGGAGCUUUCAACAAGACACCCACCUGUGAAAACAGGUAUUAAAAAUUUCUUCAUCUUACGGCUAAUGUGGGGG
rnacentral:other from 2 species